rnacentral:pre_miRNA from 1 species
UGGAGAAGUAGACACGCGUGGUACUGAUCCGGCUCAUCUGUCGAUUCCUCGGUGGUUGUUGUGCGUGGCCGUCUUUCCACCGGCUGAAGGCGAGCCGAAUCAAUAUCACUCUUGUAUGCUUCUCC